CAGCUGGGGUGUGCAGUCCGUCAGUGGCUGGCGCGAGUGUGGUCUCAAACUCUUUUCUGUGAAACGUGGGUUCUCCAGAGGAAGAAUGGCACUCGGCAAAGCUCUUAGGGAGAUCACAGGAGAGAUGGAAAGCUGAAUGCUGAAGAACGAACCAAAGACAUGAUUUAUGAAGGAGGGAAGUGGUAGUGAACUGAAGAUAUCAAGGCCUUGCAAACUUGACAAAAUAUAACCCAAUGUACUAUGUCAAAGGAUGCUGUGUAGGAAGAAAAAAGUUUCAGGAAAUUUGACUUCUAGAUGAGCCAAAGUAGUGAUGUGAUUAUUCACCUGCUUAUAUCUAGAAAUCUGGAAUCACAAACUUUCAGCCAAUAUACCUCCAUUCUCACCAUCUCCAAAUUCUAAAAGUAGCAGGAAACACACCUGAAUAACGACUCAGUCUCACAAACAUCCUUAACCUGGAUCUCACUAGGUUGCUUAUAGCCUCGCUAAAUUGCUGA